AUGGGCGACGACCUGCGGCUGGACUUCGACAAGCUCCCCAUCAAGCGCCUCGAGGCCAUCGACGAGGCCGGCAACGAGCACUACCCGCCGGACGGCAGCAGCGAGGCACAGCGGCUGGCGGCGAUCCGCCGCAUCGACUUCUCCUGGGUCGUCGAGCGGGACGCCAAGAAGGCCAAGAAGGCGGCGGCCGAUGACGCCGCCCGCAAGGCCUGGCCAUGGCAGGGCCUCCACGAGAGCCUGCAGCUGGCGCAGCAGGAGCUCACCGUCAUCCUCGACCUCAUCUCCACGGUCGAGGCGAACGACACCGUGGCCGUGGCGGCGACCAUCUCCAAGCCCAAGCCGCUGCCGGACGAAGUCCUCGCCGACAUGGCCGUCUCCGCCGCCACCAAGCUCCAGCGCCUUCGGCAUCUGGGACGGUACUUCAAGCAAUCGGCCAAAACGAUGGGGCAGCAGUUCCAGAAGGAGGCUAGGUUCUACGGCUCAUUGAUCAGGUUGCAACAGAACUGGAAAGUUAAGAGGCAGCUUGGGAAUGCUCCAGGAAGCAACAGCUUCAUGUUUGAUGUAGUUGACACUUCUCAGUUGGACACGGCUGAGAUGCCCCGAUUGUCGUCAUUGUCUUUGGUUCCAAUCGAUCAGGACUCGUCAGGUACUUUGUCUGUACAAAUCCCACAAAAGUCAUGCCGUUUCUUGAGCCUUCAAUUUCAUGGGGACAGUGCAAGCGGCGUGGAAAGCUACACUUGCAAAACGAAAGGUGUCUCAAGCACCACUUGUUCUGCAGCUGAAGAUGAUGCCUCGGAGAAUGAUGAUGUCAAUAAGUCUGUCAAACAGGCGCAUUCCAUUCUCCGCAAUAUCCACAAGUCAAUAUUUGAGGAGCAGGUAUUUGAUAUGGUGAUCCGUGAGACAUUUGUCCAAACUCAAGGCGUCAACGUAACUGGAAUGUGUGAGGAUUUUCUCCAAUUAGCCAUUGGCCAGGAGAGUUUGUUGUGCCUUUCGCUUGCGAAUUCUGGACAGGACAGUGACUCGGAAAUGGCGGGCCAUGAAGAGCACACUAAUUCAGAGGCGAAUCUUGUGUUAGCCACCACCAAUGGGAAGCAGGAGCCUUUAAAAGCAACCCCUCAGGGUUUCUUAACCCGAAAAGUCUGGAGAUUUACCUGCUACAUAUGUUCCAUGACAACAUUCUUAAGAAAGUCAGGGAGAAAUAUCGUAAUAUUGUUCGCAACCAGAGUCCUGCUCACACUGCAGAGCCUGCAGGUUAGCAGGGUUCCGUAUCUCCAUCUGCAGUCCCUUCCUACGUGGCAUUCUCGAACUUCUUCCUGGUCUAUCUGCCUAAGAGUUCCGCAGCCUAUUUUAGCUGCUGACCGACUCACGAAGCCUUCGGACAAUGGUGAGCCUAAAUACAAAUCUUCCAGGAGACAGUUCAACACGAAGAUUGUCUUGAAGGAUGGCCAGAUAAGUUUGUUGGGCGAAGGUUCUCCGAGCAUUGCUGGAUCAUUGACCAGGAAGCCCUCAGAUGGGUAUCUGAUAAACAGUUACAGCUGUGACUUGGAGGACCUCCCUACGAUGGUUCUGCAGCAGGUGGCGAGCCAGGUGAUAAACUGGCUCCACGAGGAGGCGCAGGUCCUGGGGAUGAGUGUGACGAGGGACUUUUUAGGCCUCUACUUUGACCUGGACCACGGCGACACGACACUGGGCCUGGUGGGGCACAUCGACCCGGAUGAUGCUUAUGGGUGCGUGUCGUGGUACCUGACGGUGGACCACCUGGCGGAGGAGGACGGGAAGGCGCCGGCGACGGACGACCCGUGGGCGGAGGAGAAGUGCAGGUUCCUUGGGUACCUAUCCCUGGAGGUGCUCCACUCCACCCUCAUGGACCUCAUCAACCUGUGUGGCACCGCGCCCACCCGCUGA
rnacentral:rRNA from 1 species